AGAGUUUGAUCCUGGCUCAGGAUGAACGCUGGCGGCGUGCUUAACACAUGCAAGUCGAACGAGGUCCAACCUUCGGGUGAAGACCGAGUGGCGAACGGGUGAGUAACACGUGGGGAACCUGCCCUUCUCUCUGGGAUAACCUCGGGAAACCGAAGCUAAUACCGGAUACUCCUUGCGGACCGCAUGGUCUGCUCGGGAAAGCUCCGGCGGAGAAGGAUGGCCCCGCGGCCCAUUAGCUUGUUGGUGGGGUAACGGCCCACCAAGGCGACGAUGGGUAGCCGAGCUGAGAGGCUGAUCGGCCACACUGGGACUGAGACACGGCCCAGACUCCUACGGGAGGCAGCAGUGGGGAAUCUUGCGCAAUGGGCGAAAGCCUGACGCAGCAACGCCGCGUGCGGGAUGAAGGCUCUCGGGUCGUAAACCGCUUUCAGCAGGGAUGAAAAUGACAGUACCUGCAGAAGAAGCCCCGGCUAAAUACGUGCCAGCAGCCGCGGUAAUACGUAUGGGGCAAGCGUUAUCCGGAUUCAUUGGGCGUAAAGCGCGCGUAGGCGGCUUGUUAAGUCAGGCGUGAAAUCCGGGGGCUCAACCCGCGGCUUGCGUCUGAAACUGGCAGGCUUGAGUCUGGUAGAGGAAAGUGGAAUUCCUGGUGUAGCGGUGAAAUGCGCAGAUAUCAGGAGGAACACCAGUGGCGAAGGCGGCUUUCUGGGCCACGACUGACGCUGAGGCGCGAAAGCUAGGGGAGCGAACAGGAUUAGAUACCCUGGUAGUC
rnacentral:rRNA from 1 species